UACGGGGGGGGGCAAGCGUUGUCCGGACUACUGGGCGUAAAGGGUGCGUAGGCGGUCUUGUGCGUCGGUGCUGAAAGCGCCCGGCUUAACCGGGCGAGGCGUGCCGAUACGAUAAGACUGGAGGGGCAGCGAGGGUGGCGGAACGUCCUGGUGUAGUGGUGAAAUGCGUAGAGAUCAGGAAGAACACCCGUGGCGCAAGCAGGCCACCCUGGCUGCCAACUGACGCUGAGGCACGAGAGCGUGGGGAGCGAACCGG
rnacentral:rRNA from 1 species